GUUACCAUGCUGUGUUGUUGUCUUUAGGUCUCUCUCUAUGUAGUGUUGUUACCAUGCUGUGUUGUUGUCUUUAGGUCUCUCUCUAUGUAGUGUUGUUACCAUGCUGUGUUGUUGUCUUUAGGUCUCUCUUUAUGUAGUGUUGUUACCAUGCUGUGUUGUUGUCUUUAGGUCUCUCUCUAUGUAGUGUUGUUACCAUGCUGUGUUGUUGUCUUUAGGUCUCUCUCUAUGUAGUGUUGUUACCAUGCUGUGUUGUUGUCUUUAGGUCUCUCUCUAUGUAGUGUUGUUACCAUGCUGUGUUGUUGUCUUUAGGUCUCUCUCUAUGUAGUGUUGUUACCAUGCUGUGUUGUUGUCUUUAGGUCUCUCUCUAUGUAGUGUUGUUACCAUGCUGUGUUGUUGUCUUUAGGUCUCUCUCUAUGUAGUGUUGUUACCAUGCUGUGUUGUUGUCUUUAGGUCUCUCUCUAUGUAGUGUU